AUCAAGACCUGAGCUGAGAUCAAGAGUUAGAUGAUCGAGGCACCCCAAAUGCUGAAGAGAGUACUCUGGAUGAGAAACACAUAUACCCCAAUAACUGGAAAAGUAUAUCCUCCUUCUUCAAGUUGCGCUGAGGAUAAAAUUCAAACCCCACCAAGAUCGCACAGACCUUAUGAUCUGGCCACUACUGAUUUCUCCAAGCUCAACUCCCAAUACUGCCCCCCUUCACUGUAAGUUGUAGUCACACUGGUUCCUUUCCAUUUCUGAAACACUCCAAAAUUUUCCCUGCCUACAGCCUUUGCCCUUCUAGUUUACCUGAGAGCAAUGCUUUUCCUCAGAUCCCCCUAUGGCUGGUUACUUCUUACCAAUCCUGUCUCAGCUAAAUGUCACCUCCCCACACAGGCUUUCUGUGAUCCCUGUGCCUACCAUUGCAACCCUUCCCCUUUUUUGCCCCCCCACCACCACCACGGUCCCUAGCUAUCCCUUAGCCUGUCUUAUCACUAUAUAAUCUCUUGUUUACUUUUUUAUUAUCUGAUUCCCAAACUGGAAUAAAAGUCCAACAUAGCUGCAGCCCCAGCAAUGACCACAGAGUUAAUACUCAAUAAAUACUUGUGAAAUCAAGUGAAUGGGAUGGGGCGAGAAAUGACAUAUGAGCUGCUCUGCACUAGAGAGAAGAGAUACAAAUAGGGAGUGCGAUCUGAGAUAAAUGGAACCUUCCCUUGUGCCCACAAUGUAACUUCUACAAAGCACCAUUAAAGUACCAGUCAUUGCA